GAACGGCAGCAUGAGGUGUAGCAAUACACCUUGAUGGCGAGUGGCGGACGGGUGAGGAAUGCAUCGGAAUCUGCCCAGUCGUGGGGGACAACGCAGGGAAACUUGCGCUAAUACCGCAUACGACCUUCGGGUGAAAGCAGGGGAUCUUCGGACCUUGCGCGAUUGGAUGAGCCGAUGCCGGAUUAGCUAGUUGGCGGGGUAAUGGCCCACCAAGGCGACGAUCCGUAGCUGGUCUGAGAGGAUGAUCAGCCACACUGGGACUGAGACACGGCCCAGACUCCUACGGGAGGCAGCAGUGGGGAAUAUUGGACAAUGGGGGCAACCCUGAUCCAGCAAUGCCGCGUGUGUGAAGAAGGCCUUCGGGUUGUAAAGCACUUUUAUCGGGAACGAAACAUUGUCGGUUAAUACCCGGCAAGACUGACGGUACCCGAGGAAUAAGCACCGGCUAACUCCGUGCCAGCAGCCGCGGUAAU
rnacentral:rRNA from 1 species